rnacentral:rRNA from 1 species
ACCUUUACUAUAGCUUGACACUGAACAUUGAGCCUUGAUGUGUAGGAUAGUUGGGAGGCUUUGAAGUGUGGACGCCAGUCUGCAUGGAGCCAACCUUGAAAUACCACCCUUUAACGUAUGAUGUUCUAACCUAGGCCCAUAAACUGGGACGGGGACCGUGUCUGGUGGGUAGUUUGACUGGGGCGGUCUCCUCCUAAAGAGUAACGGAGGAGCACGAAGGUUGUCUAAGCAUGUUCGGACAUCAUGCGGUUAGUGCAAAGGCAUAAGCCAGCUUGACUGCGAGAGUGACGGCUCGAGCAGGAAC